CAAGUCGAGCGAGAAAGUCCCCGCAAGGGGAUGAGUACAGCGGCGAACGGGUGAGUAACACGUGGGCAACCUGCCCCUCAGUCAGGAAUAACCCCGCGAAAGCGGGGCUAAUACCAGAUGACGUCCCCUGGGGGCAUCUCCGGGGGACCAAAGGGGGCGAGCGCAAGCGGCUCUCGCUGAGGGAUGGGCCUGCGGCUGAUUAGCUAGUUGGUGGGGUAACGGCCUACCAAGGCGACGAUCAGUAGCCGACCUGAGAGGGUGACCGGCCACACUGGGACUGAGACACGGCCCAGACUCCUACGGGAGGCAGCAGUGGGGAAUAUUGCGCAAUGGGCGAAAGCCUGACGCAGCGACGCCGCGUGGGUGAUGAAGGCCUUCGGGUCGUAAAACCCUGUCGGGUGGAACGAAUCCCCCGCGAGUGAAUAUCCCGCGGGGUUGACGGUACCACCGAAGGAAGCCCCGGCUAACUACGUGCCAGCAGCCGCGGU
rnacentral:rRNA from 1 species